UACAGAGGUGGCAAGCGUUGUUCGGAAUUACUGGGCGUAAAGGGCGCGUAGGCGGUUCGUUAAGUCCUGUGUGAAAUCCCCCGGCUCAACUGGGGAACUGCACAGGAAACUAGCGGGCUUGAGUUCGGGAGAGGGAAGCGGAAUUCCGGGUGUAGCGGUGAAAUGCGUAGAUAUCCGGAAGAACACCCGUGGCGAAGGCGGUUCUCUGGGACGGUACUGACGCUGAGACGCGAAAGCGUGGGGAGCGAACAGG
rnacentral:rRNA from 1 species